GCUGGCCGGGGCGGGGAGGGGGGGGCCCUCUGGAGAAGCAAGGCCAGGGGAAACCGCGAGGCCGUCGCUGCCCCGUUACUUUUCCGGAGCACGCCCCAACAUGGGAAGGAGGCGUCCUUGUCCUGCGGAAAUGGCGACGGGAAAAUGUCCGCCUGCGCCUCUGGUCCGGCCCUCCCCGCGCUCGGCAGUGUGAGCACAGGGGCGGGGGGCGCGGCGCCGGGCCCGGCAGAGGCUGGAAGGGGCUCGGUAGCUGCUCUGGGCGGGCUGGUGAGGCGGCGGGAAGGACCCGUGUGUGACGCGUGUGGCUGAUCACAGAAUCACAGAAUGUCAGGGAUUGGAAGGGACCUCAAAAGAUCAUCCAGUCCAAUCCCCCUGCUGGAGCAGGAACACCUAGAUGAGGUUACAUAUGAAGGGGUCCAAGCGGGUUUUGAAUGUUUCCAGAGAAGGAGACUCCACAACCCCCCUGAGCAGCCUGUUCAGUGCUCCAUCACCCUCACUGAGAAGAAGUUUCUUCUCAAAUUUAAAUUGAACCUCCUGUGCUUCCGUUUGUACCCAUCACCCCUUGUGCUAUUGUUGGUUGUCACAGAGAAGAGCCUGGCUCCAUCCUCAUGACAUUCACCCUUUACUUAUUUAUGAAUAUUAAUGAGGUCACCCCUCAGUCUCCUCCAAGCUAAAGAGCCCCAGCUCCCUCAGCCUUUCCUCAUAAGGGAGAUGUUCCACUCCCUUAAUCAUCUUUGUUUCCCUGCGCUGGACCCUCUCCAGCAGUUCCCUGUCCUUCUGGAACUGAGGGGCCCAGAACUGGACACAAUAUUCCAGAUGGUGCCUCAAUGAACCUCCUGAGUGAACAGUCCUGAAACGUGGGUGCUGUACUGAAGGCCAGUGUGUAUGUGUUGCAGAUCAGAGCACACAUCACAUUCCCCACAUUAGGGGCAUAUAGAUGCUCUAGGUGGGUGCAGUGAGACUCCAGGGAGAUGCACCUCAUGCCCCCAUUUGUGCUCGGGCCGCAGAGCUCACAUCCUGUGGUGCCAAGAGGAGGGCCAGCUAGUGAAGAUGCUAAAAAUGAGUUAGUUACCUGGUCAUUGUCCUGAAGGGGACCAGAACAGCAUUCAUCUCAGGAAAGAGAGUGCAGGGGAAUCUCAUGGUGUGUGUUUUACAUUUGAUACAAAAUAGAAGGAAGGCCUCUCAGUACUAUUUCAAGCGAUUUCUAAAUGAAAAGGCAAAAAUAAGGAGCUGCGUGUUACAUUAAGAGAAAGGCUCUCACUUCUGACAGGUCUGUCCUUUAAGGAUACCAUUAAAAAGUCAGGGAUAUAAGCAAGUUUGCAAAGCCAACAACGAGGACUCAGAAGCUGAAAUUCAUUAUGCCUGAACCCUUGUUUUCAUCAUCGUCACAGAGCUCUUUCUUCUUGGGCCCUGGAGACAAACACAGCUGUUGUGCAGUAGGACUGCACAGCUGAGGGUUUGAGGAUUAGUAGAAUAUUUAAAUUGUGGUAUAACCCACUAAUGGAUGAGUUGUAUUAUUAGAUAUUUUAUUAACUGAAUGACUAUACUGACAAGAACUACCUAAUUGUCUUUCUUCCAGGAUAUGAGGUGCCUCAAGGACAGGACAAGCUUCCAACACAUUAGAAUAAUAAGUCUAAAAUGCAUUAGUGAAAAAUAUCAAAUAUUAAAGUAAAACCACUCAAAAUUAAGAUAUGUUAUAUCUUGGUUACUUUUGUAAUGACCUAAGUUUGUAUACAAAGAGCAGCAUUGACAGAACAAGAACAAGCAGUGACCAUUAAAAUACAAACAUUUUGAAUGCACAGUUUCUAGGGACAUAUGAUUUUUUAAAAGCUGGCAAUUCUGGCUAAAACGUUAAUGGCCAAUCUCUAACUCAAAGCAAUACUGUUGUUGGUACUGUUGUAGAUUUGGAGAAGGCCUGUUGGGUUAGUUGGAGGGAGAAUAAAACAAUCUUUUCUUUGAGUUAAAAGAUCCAACUGCCUUUUUCAUUUUCAAAAAAUCAGGAGGUCAAAAAAUCUCAUGCUUGGCAAACAGAGUCUGAUGAGGUAUAUUCCUCACACAAAAGCUGAGUCGUACUUUAUUUCAGAUCUGAGACAACAAAGAGACUUCAUGUGCUGCCCUGGAUAUCUGAGGACAGUUGCACCAAAAGAUGAAGAUUCAGCAUUGGUGCCACCACACUGCCACCCAGCUUCGGGUUUUCCACAACUUUAAGUUCAAGCUGGAGCAUGUGAGGAGCCCCAGCAGUGACAAACGUGGCCAAGAAGCACCUAAUGGCUUUUGUGCCAGCUGUGUUGGUCUCUUUCCUUCUUUUGGGGCAGUCAGGCCUGAUUUUGGAGCAAAUAUUCUGUCAGACCAAACCUAAGUUUUUCAUCUUCUGAAUCUGGGCAAACCUGUCCAGGUUAUUUAGGAUCCUUGCUCCCGGUUCACUUGGCUGAUAGCGAGAGCACUAUGUUGCUGAGAGGUGUUUUUGAAAUAAUUGGGUAUUUGGUAUGAUCCCAGCUGCUUUGAGUGUGCUGCUGUGUAUAAAUGACUGUAAACAUUUCCAGCAACAUACACAAGAUUUCCAAACCAAGAUCAGCUUUAUUGCAAUGCAGGCUGCUAUUGCGCAGCCCAUACUCUUCAGCUGACCACUAAUGCUGCUCUUUGACCUGAAAUUCAAAAGUACAUUUUCAGUGUCUGUCUUCCUCCAUGAUUAAACUCAGCUGUUUUUUUUUGUGUUAUUUCACUGCCAUUAUCUGCUUGAUUUCCAACCCGUGUGCUUAGUCUUAUCAACUAUAGAGCUGAUACAUUGUUUGCAACAGAAAUCCAGGCUGUUUUCCUUCUGCACCAUUAAAACUGAUAAAAAUGGAAACUCUGUUUUCUCACGUUGUAAUCUUUAGCACAACAGCGUGACAAGUCAGCUCCGUUUAUGAGGUGUUUACUGUCUUCAGCUGAAGCCUUUUCCCCUUCAGUUCUAAUGUAUGUGUUCUGGCUGUGUGGAGUUUUCUACAGGCCUUUUCCUUUGGAGGGGCUGUGGCACAGAGGAGGAGUAUAAGCCAUUCUAAGGCUGACAGCAUCACAUGCAGAAGCAUUCAUUUGUGCAUCACAUAAAAUAUGACUUAAAGACAAGCUACCAUUGUAUAAUAUCUGCCUACAUGCAUAAUCUUGUGUAGUUAUUUCCAGUACACUUAAUGUCAUGUAUAAUUACUUCCAGUACACUUAAUAUGAAAAAAAGCUUCUCUAAACAUACAGGCAGUACUUUGGAUGGUGUUAUUAGUUUAGCUCUGUACCAGUAUCUCUAGCCCCAAGACUUGACUAGUUUCUCUGGACAGUCCAAAGGAAAAUCUUCCUGAUCCAACUUGGAAAAAAAAAAGUUCGCUAGAAAAGCAUUUUGUGGGAAGAAGUAUCUCCUCCUGAAAAACAUCCUUUGCCUAAACUUAGCAAAAUGGAACUUUUGUAAGAGCAGACGCAGUCCAAAUUCCCCUUAAACUCUCCCUUUGCUCCAACAAGAUCUGUUUUAUAACUAGGACAUUUUAUUAUUUCCUUAUCUCAUGAGUAGCUGCUUUUCAGUCUCAGGUAGGGACUGUUCCUCAUUCCUGAAGCGUUAUCUGCUGAUCACAGGGCCAAUCAGCAUUUAUUUGGGAAAUGUGACCAUUGACUCGAGUACAUUUUCAAUCUGUUGGUUGGUGUUUUUUUGUGUAACUCUUUGUUCGGUCAAAGCAAUUAGAAUGAUUGUUCGUAUUAAAUUGUAUGUCCAGUUACCAAAAUACCAGCUUUUCUGUUUUGUUCUUAUCUCUGCUCUGUUUUAAAACAGAAAGUUAAUGGAGAAGCCUUACCUUGUAUGAAAAGGAACAAAAAAUUGUCUGCAUCAAAUUGUAAAAAAGAAGCAACAUUUAUUUUUUUGCAGAGUUGGAAAAAUCAUUUCCAGGUCUAUAAUUUAUGAUGUGCACCUGUGACCAGUGUAAAUGACUCAGGUGAGCAGCAGAUGAGAUAACGGCCUCCUUUUGAGCAAGGAGGCCUCCGGGCAUUUUCUGAGGCACUUGAGAGAUCUGUGCUCAGGCAACUAUUUCUCAUGCGGAAAGUCUUGCCAACUAAUACAUUGAAUUAAAUAAUCCAUUUGAGGGGAGUCACGACACUGAAAAGAUUCAAGUGAAGGAUUUUUUUGAAGGAUCUUCAAGUGAAGGUCUUCCAGCUGUAUAGUGAGGAAGAUGACUAACAGACUUAUUAUUCCAGUCAAAGUUACAAUGCUGAUUCUCCUCCAAGCUAACUUCUCAAUUAGUGUAUGAAAGACACUGUUGUGACUUUUCAAUAUUGCUUUAAAACUUCUUUUUCUUGCUCUCACCUGAUGUGUGGAAACACCUGCAGUAGGAUUAAAUUCUGGCAUGAGUCUGAAUGGUGCAUUUCUAGUAUUUUGUGGGAUUUGUCAUUCAUACAGUUGGUUUUGAGGGUCGGAAUUUUUUACUUCAACACAAAUGAAUUGUGCAUUUCAGUCUAUAAUAUUUCAUGUUUAUAUAAGAAGUGAAAAUCAUGUUUUUUAUCACUUUGGUUCGUAUCAGUGUGUUCUUUUGCAAAUAACUUGCAUUUCUAGUUUCUUAGAAGCUCACGUAUUCUUUUGCAGUGCACAAUACAGGAGUACGGUGCUUUGAUUGAGUCUGGCAUAUCUAAUCAUGUCAUGAAUGCUGCCAGUGGUAAUAAUGGAGGUUGCAGUGUGUGAGUUAUUCUGUGUGCAGAAUGCUGGGCUGCUACCUCACAGAGUAGUCCGGUGUGGUGACUGACACUCAUUGCAUCUUGUUCACCUUUUCUCCUGCCAUGACCUGCUCCCUUGCAGAUGCCCUCUCCUACCAACUUACCUUUCACCACGUCCUCAUUUCUCCUAAAGAGGUGGUUCUUUGGUGAUGCCCGCAAGAUACAAAGUACUUCCAAGGAAAGUAAGAAUUUCCAAAUUAAUUCCCAGUUUAUCUUCUUUCCGGCAUCUUCUGAGCUGGACAGCCUAUACUAGAGGACUAUCUUCAGAUUGUUUUCCACAAGUUGACUUCAUUGUUUUUUUUCUUAGUAAAUAAUAACUGUGUAUGAUAAAAUAAUGCCAGCUGCUCAAUAUCAAAACAGAAGACUGUCUUUUAAUCCUCUAUGCAAGCCAAGUUGUUUUCUUUAACAUUUAACUUAAUUCAUCAUCAAUAUUAGAAACAGUUAAAUUUCCUUUUAGAUAUAAGACAGGAGAAACAUUAGAGGUAUGACCUGAAAUGGGGGCUGUGUACAAAAUCCUUCCAAAGGCUUUGUUUACAGCUAAGCUUUACAAAGGACUGAAUUUGGACAUGUGUGCAGCGUAUCAAAGAGACUGAAUUUCUGGAUUAUUUGGAUUCCCACCACAGGCAGGAGUGUAGGUCUGUGCAGUUUUGUUGCAGGGAAAGAGGGUCCACAAGAAGUCCUAGCUCCAUGAUUAACUUCUGAAAACAAUGCCCAAACACCCAAAUAUUAGUUGAAUGUUAAUUGGAACAUUCAUAAGUUAGCUGGAAAGUAGGAUAAAUAAAUCAUGUUUUUCUCUUUAGCAAUGGCCUCAUUUUUCCUGCCAUGCUCAGACUGUAGCUUAUUUAUUUUAUACAGAGAAGUUUAGCAGCUAAGACUACAAUCCUGGUCCAUAGUGUAUAAAGCAGAAUUCCUAAGUAAGAUGCACUAGAAGCAGUUCUUACCUUGGUUUUAACACAAAUUUUCAGCCUUAAGUGUUUUCCUGACCAGGAAGUAAAAGCAGAGCCUGUGAGCAGCAGUGCCAGGGACACCCCAGGCCACCGAGGGGCAAAGAAGCCAAAGCACCGUGCUGGGCUCGUGCCUUGGGGUGGGUCCCACCUGGAGGCAUGUUCUUCUGCCAGCCAGCAACCUAGAGCCACAAGAUUUCCCAUCCUGGAAGCAGUUUGAUGUGUCCUCAUGUAGUGAAGUUUCCCUGACAGAGAAAGCAGAAGUCUGAUAUGUAGGUCGAUACGAAUCUCCAGUUCUUCUGUACCCACAUGCAUGCAGCUCAGGUCCAGCUCAGAUACUGAACUGCCAGAGUGUUACAUCCGCAAAGAUGGAAAUAUCACAAAUUUCCUAAGACAGGAUCUGUUUCCCUGCCCCUCCUUUGUGUAUUUGUUCACUGCCUGGAAGCUUUUUGUGUGUUGCAGUUCUGUUUCCUUUCAUCCUUCAGUAUUGUUACUCUGGUGUAAGUUAUGGUGGAUUGAUUUCUGGUGGGAGUAGUCAAUAUUUGCAAGAUAAUUUCGUAGGCUUUUGGUCAUGUAACAAGGAAGCAAAUGGGAAUAAUCCUCUUGCAUUUUAAAUGGCCAUACAUACAGGUGUUCGUACCCUAGAUAACACAGCGGUAGGAAACAACCUAACCUUCAAGAAGAAAAUGAGAUAGCAGAGCAGGAUUUUAUUAAAUGAGGAGUUUUUAAAAAAACUAUAGUGAAAACUUUCCAAGCCCCUGAGUAAGUCCAAAUGAUCUGAUUGAACACUUAAUCUUCUUGUCAAUUUGAAGCAGGGAUGGUCACAGAAAGAUUACACGUAAGUUUACUUUUAUUGAUUUUUGUCCAAAGUACUAGGGCCCAGCCAGUAGCUGAGUCUCAAGAACUGCAUCUAGUUAUAAAGAUUAAGGCAGUCAGCAAAUACCCUAUGGUAUUUUUCUAAUAACCAGGGCACCGUUUUCCUUAAAGACUAACCCACGCUUCACAAGACAAGAAAAACACUAACUUACAGGCUUUUACAUAAUAGUACUUCUUAGCUAUUGCCAUUGUAAAACUCCUGCAAAGCAAUCUCAAAUUUCUAUUGAGUGCCAUACCUUAGCUCCUUCAGCUUUUGAUAGCUAGUGGAGACUAAUCUAUUUUAAGAUCUAAUAUUACACCAAAGUAUUUUUUUCAGGAAUAUAGUGAAAAACAGGAUAUAUUAAGUAGCAGGAAUGGAGAAAAUAGUCCAUUGGUAAUCACAAACUGAAUAGUCUCCAGAGAUCAAUUACAUCUUCCUCAGUUGCAAGUUUAUCUCCAAAUCUUUAAUUACAAAGUAUUUUCAUCUCAUCUACUUCAUAUUGUAUAUUGUGUAUAAUCUACUUUAUAUGGAGUAUAAAGUUCUACUGAAAAGUUGAAAAGUAUUGGAAUUGCAUUCUCCUUGUCUCUUUGAUGAAAUUGGUUGUUUGGUGAUUUUCUAAAUGUUUUUAGACAGGGAUCCGUGCAAAUUCAAAUAAUAAUAAGAAACCUUGAAAGGGAGAACACUGAGAAACACAGUAUUUGUUAUCACAUGCUCUUCGUAAGGUAACUGUUAUCACCAUUCAUACCUCCAAGGUGUUUCCACCACACAAGUACUUCUCAGGGUCUCUCUUCCAGAGGGAAGUUAGAAAUGUUUUGGAGACCCCAUUUCAAAGGGAUGUGAAACAAAUGAUAUUGAAAAUGCCUUCUGUGAAAUUUCUCUUUGUGAACUAAUUGAUACAAUUUUAAAAGUUGGCCUAGUACUUACAGCAUUUUUUAAUACGGUGUUAUUUAUAGCACUUCUGAAGAACUGACAGGUGGUCUAAUGUACAGGCAGACAAGCUGAGGAGCAGAGAUGUCAAGCUGCUUUGGGUGGGAUCCAGAGUGCUUAAUUUAAGUACCUAGAAUAAUUAUUUCUCAGCUUAACUGCAGAGCCCCAGCUCCAGAGAUCCAGUUGUCUUAGAGCAAGAGCCUCAGUUUCCCAUAAGGUCUGCCAGCAAUCACUGUGUAAGAAAGCGUUGUGCCAGGGCCCCGUGGACAUGGGCAGCAGAGGGUGAUGAUGAGAGGCUGCCUGCGGGGUGAGGGGUGCUCGGAGGCAGGGCCGGCAGCUGUGAGCAGGGCCCCUCAGGCAGUGAAUUUGGCAGCGGUUCGGCAGAUAUGGUUUUUCAUCCCAUCCCCUCUGCUUGCAUCCACAUAGCUAACAGGAGCCAGGAACUGGUUAGCAGCAUCCCUGCCCCGUGCCGGCCUUUAAGUGCUUGUGAAAGUGCGUCCUUGGUGGGCCGUAACUCAGAAGAGGGUUUAAGACAGAUGCAUCAGUGACUGGGAAGUGCAAGGGAGAGCACUGGGACAAAGAAGAGUGUUGGAAAGGUCAGGACUACUGAGGGACCCAUUGCUCAAAGCUGUAUAUUCCCUGUCAAACCCCUGACAUGGGACUCAGAGAGGCCUGGUGACUGAUCUCCCCAUGCAGAAGGUCAGAGGAGCAGGUAGAUGGAGUGUGUACUGUGUCCUCACCCCUUCUCAGGCUGGUUGCCUUGGCAGGGUUGACAAACCAUAUUUACUUGGGCAUUCAACAGCUGAUACUAAGGCCAUGAUCAUAAAAUAAUAAAGAUAUGAAAAAAGCUUUUAAAGUAGUGCUUCACCUUUAUAUGAUCAAGUAUGUGUUUAUAACUUUGCUUUGUGAAAGGUACAUAUUUCAGUUGUUUAUAUUCCCUGUUUCAGCUCAGGCUCUGUAAUAUAGAAAUGCCUUUUGUGUGGCAUUCAGAAAGAUUUUUAUCUAAAUAAAUAGUUAAAGUUGAGCAGUUGAGGUAAGAGUUGGAACCCAAACCAUGCUUCCCAUUACUGAAUCCCCCAAGGCUCCAUUGUUCUAGUAUUUGAAGUUUAUAGAAAAUAACUGCCUGGUUUCUCUCCUAUGCCUGUAAAUGAUUAUAUGUCUCACAUUUCUAACCCUUGCUAAUACUGCCAGUAACACUAAUAAGGCCUCCAUGUGGUAACCCAGUUGUUCCUGUCCAUAUCUUCUUUAAUUUUUAUCCAAAUCCCCAUUUCUGCCAAAGAAUGAGACUAGAGGAAAUGUAACCCUUGCCCCAAAUAACCUGUAACAUACUGUAAUGUUUUAUCACAGGAACUGUACUUUGCACAGUUGUGUAAAAAAGCACCUGUCCAUCUGCCAAACCCGCUCCAUGGUGCUGGCAUCAGGAUUCCUGGGUUUUAUCUGUGCUACUGCGAGCCUGUUCUUUCUAGGACCGUGGAGGAGCAGUGCCAAGGCAGCGUUGCUGGGGAGUUUGUGCCCUGCACGGAUCCAUGCACGGUGCAAAGGGGCAGAGACAGCUGCAAGGUUUGCUCGGUGCAGGCUGUGCUAGUCGUAUAGCAGCAGAGCUAGAAGGAAGAACAGCAGACACAGCCAAAAGACUCCAUACCCAAAAUAAUUAAGUCUAAUACUAGUUAUUUUCUUCUUGGGCUUUGAUACAGGAGUAAUGGUACCUUAUAAACUCGUUUUUAGUGUGUGUAUGCAUGUGUGCAAUUUUUGGUCAUCUGGAUUAUCCCCAUGAGAAACCUUUGUUCUUCUCAAAUUUCUCAUGACUCUAGUUCCACCAGUCUGCUCUAAUCUUCCUUUUCAGAAGAGCUGUAUAAUUCUGUGGCACUCCACCAAGGAAAAGGCUUUAACUAAAUCAUGAAAUAGUUGUUCAAAAUCCCAAGUAGAAACACGUUUAUUACUAUAUGUAACAGGAGACUGAAUUUACUAAUAAGCCUAAGCACAUUCCAGGCAUCUCAAGAGUAAAAUGCACUCUUAGCUAGCUCAGCAAAUACUGAUGAACUGAAAUGCCUAUUUGCAAAUAGACCAACUAGAUCAAAAAAGGAAACCUUGGCCUUCCAUUGAGUAAUUCAGGUAUUAAAAUAAUUUUAUGUCCCACUUGUAUCUUUGGCAGCUUGUAUUCUGAACUUCCUGAAGAAUGGGUGGAACAUGAGCUCUGGUUGGUCCCUGUGGGAAGCCACGUCGUGUGUGGGAACAGCUCUGCUGGCUGCUGUCUCACCAGGGCUCCCACACGCUGUGUAAACACCGCUGUUGGAAGAAGUUACCAUGGGCUGCAGGGUCCUUGGUGUUGUUGCCACACUUGUUUCUCAGUCUGUUUUAGAAAGAAAGACAUGGUCCUAAAUGACCAAGGAGGUUGUGUGCAGGUGAGGGCCAGGUUCCUGAGACAAAGAUGCUACAACUAAAAAUACAUGCACAGCUCUCAGCUAAGUGCUUUGGAAACACCUCAGUAGAUGCUACUCUACGUUUUAGGCCUGUAACCACAUUUAAUAUCUGAUCUCUGAGACAGUUUUCUCUUGGAGUUCUUUAUGUUCAUUGUGAAUCACAUUAUUGCUCAAUCACCUAAGCCAGGCUUUGUAAUUACUGACAGGCUGAAGAUGGCUGUUAAGACAAGUCUACAGGGCAUGUAACAAAGAAUUAGAAUGUCUGUGGCGACGUUGCCAUGGGUGAAGUUACACGUUUGGGCUUGAGAUGGUCUAACAGCUCAUUUCCACAUAAAGAAAGAGGCUCUGUGCCCUUCUCCCUGCUCUCCCCCUGCCUUGGCCCUCCUCCCCUCACAUGCAUUGGCUUGUGUUUUCUGACCCUGCACUAAGGCAACGCAAUGUACUGGAAUCAAGAGGAAUAUUAAACUAGGAAAAAAAAGGUGAAUCAUUUUGUCAUGGCAUAUGGAGUUGACUCAAACUGUGAACGUGCUGCAGAACACCAAAGCUAACACAAAGAAUCACACAGAAUCCCACAGAACACCAAAGCUAAUACAAAGGAUGGGAUAGGAUUGUGUGACUUGGUGUGGGUCUAGGGAAAGGAAGAGGAGGAAAAGGAGCGAGAUCUUUAAAGCAGUGGCAAGCUGGUAAACCUGUUUUGUGGUCAUGUGUCACUACCCCAAAUAACAAAGGCCAAGUUCUGUUCAUCUACAGUCCACCUUUAGCACCAUCCUGCAUCUAUUUGUUAUUUUUAUUUACCUUUAUGGAUUUGUCUUUCACAGAGUGAGUAGAUAAAGCUGGGAGUGUAAUGUGACAGAUUAGCCAGAGAGACAGCAGCGGCAACACUUUGCUCUAAGGGAAGAUGGUCAAUAAAAUCUGCAUAUUUUGUAAGCUCAUCCCUCAGCUCCCUCCAAGAGAUAACAGCAAUCUCUCUUGCUUUCUCCAUAGGACCUAGGUAGGCUUUCUUUCUCAAUUUUUUGUUUGUUUGUUUGUUUAGCUGGGCUUUUUUCCUAUUACAGGUUUUGGAAACGGUUCAGCUUUUCACCUUCCUCUCAAAAAUCUGUGAAGAAACUAUCAGUCUAGACAGCAAACAAAUAAAUGAUAAUUAAAUGUACUGCCUGUGAAAGAUUUAACCUGAUUGAAUUAGAGGAAAAGGAGGAAAGCUAAUGACUGGCAGUGACUGGUAAUCACUCCAGUGUUCAGAGUUUUUGCAGAUCAACUCAGACAUUUUCUGUUUAUGUUGAAGUCAAAGACAAUAUUUCCAUUGGCUGCAGUUGGAGCAGUUUUAAUAUUUUUGAACACUCCUGUUUUUAAUCUAAAAUAAUAAAGUAUGGUAUUAUUUAAAAACUGG